GGGCUUGUGGUUUAGUGGUAUAAUUUUCCCUUAGCAUUGCUUCGAAAACAAUUGGGAAAGGUCCUGGGUUCGAUUCCCAGCAAGUCCA
rnacentral:tRNA from 1 species